GUCGAACGAAACUGUUCUUACACCGAAUGCUUGCAUUCACCGUAAGAAGUUGAGUGGCGGACGGGUGAGUAACACGUGGGUAACCUGCCUAAAAGAAGGGGAUAACACUUGGAAACAGGUGCUAAUACCGUAUAUCUCUAAGGAUCGCAUGAUCCUUAGAUGAAAGAUGGUUCUGCUAUCGCUUUUAGAUGGACCCGCGGCGUAUUAACUAGUUGGUGGGGUAACGGGCUACCGAGGUGAUGAUACGUAGCCGAACUGAGAGGUUGAUCGGCCACAUUGGGACUGAGACACGGCCCAAACUCCUACGGGAGGCAGCAGUAGGGAAUCUUCCACAAUGGACGCAAGUCUGAUGGAGCAACGCCGCGUGAGUGAAGAAGGUCUUCGGAUCGUAAAACUCUGUUGUUAGAGAAGAACACGAGUGAGAGUAACUGUUCAUUCGAUGACGGUAUCUAACCAGCAAGUCACGGCUAACUACGUGCCAUCAGCCGCGGUAAUACGUAGGUGGCAAGCGUUGUCCGGAUUUAUUGGGCGUAAAGGGAACGCAGGCGGUCUUUUAAGUCUGAUGUGAAAGCCUUCGGCUUAACCGGAGUAGUGCAUUGGAAACUGGAAGACUUGAGUGCAGAAGAGGAGAGUGGAACUCCAUGUGUAGCGGUGAAAUGCGUAGAUAUAUGGAAGAACACCAGUGGCGAAAGCGGCUCUCUGGUCUGUAACUGACGCUGAGGUUCGAAAGCGUGGGUAGCAAACAGGAUUAGAUACCCUGGUAGUCCACGCCGUAAACGAUGAAUGCUAGGUGUUGGAGGGUUUCCGCCCUUCAGUGCCGCAGCUAACGCAAUAAGCAUUCCGCCUGGGGAGUACGACCGCAAGGUUGAAACUCAAAGGAAUUGACGGGGGCCCGCACAAGCGGUGGAGCAUGUGGUUUAAUUCGAAGCAACGCGAAGAACCUUACCAGGUCUUGACAUCCUUUGACCACCUAAGAGAUUAGGCUUUCCCUUCGGGGACAAAGUGACAGGUGGUGCAUGGCUGUCGUCAGCUCGUGUCGUGAGAUGUUGGGUUAAGUCCCGCAACGAGCGCAACCCUUGUUGUCAGUUGCCAGCAUUAAGUUGGGCACUCUGGCGAGACUGCCGGUGACAAACCGGAGGAAGGUGGGGACGACGUCAAAUCAUCAUGCCCCUUAUGACCUGGGCUACACACGUGCUACAAUGGACGGUACAACGAGCCGCGAGACCGCGAGGUUUAGCUAAUCUCUUAAAGCCGUUCUCAGUUCGGAUUGUAGGCUGCAACUCGCCUACAUGAAGUCGGAAUCGCUAGUAAUCGCGAAUCAGCAUGUCGCGGUGAAUACGUUCCCGGGCCUUGUACACACCGCCCGUCACACCAUGAGAGUUUGUAACACCCAAAGCCGGUGGGGUAACCGCAAGGAGC
rnacentral:rRNA from 1 species